GUUUGAUCUCAGACUGCUGUGCUAGCAAUCAGCAAGACUCCGUGGGCGUAGGACCCUCCAAGCCAGGUGCGAUAUAAUGUCGUGGUGCGCCGUUUUUUAAGCUGGUUGGAAAAGCGCAGUAUUCGCGUGGGAGUGACCCGAUUUUCCAGUGAGAUGAACCCGGUACCUCAGAUUGAAAUGCAGAAAUCACCCGUCUUCUGCGUCGCUCACGCUGGGAGCUGUAGACCGGAGCUGUUCCUAUUCGGCCAUCUUGGCUCCUCCCUCAGUUCUGGAGACUGGGACAUCCAAGGUCAAUGUGCUGGCAGAUUCAAUGUCUGGAGUGAAAUACAUCACCGCUUUCCCUGCUCCCGCCGCCAUUAAAAUUGUGUUUGGCAUCUGACCACCAAGAUACAGAUAUUUCCUAGACUGUUUUGCAGCUAGGUACUUAGGUAAGUACUGCCCUGAGAUUGAAUUUAAACCAACGUAUGUAAGCAUAAAUAUUGUGUCCAAAUUGUGUACAACUUCUUGGUCAUCCCUUUAAAACUAAACCUGUUUUCCCAGCACUGCCUCUUUUUCCAUUCUGCAGAUAGUAAUGAAGAUAGGGGCCACCAUUCCCUGUGAAAAUCAAGUGGGAAAGUCCUGAGUCCUUUAAUGACUUUACAGAGGACAGAAUAAACUCCUAUCAUAUUCAUGCAAUUGUG
rnacentral:lncRNA from 1 species